rnacentral:lncRNA from 7 species
AAAGGCUCCAUGUGGAUGCUGAAGGUACCAGGUAGUAUGUCUGGUUAAUAAAGCAGCCUUACAGAGAGUUUUCCUGCAAUAACGGAAAGAUAAUAACCAGUGAUCUACCACGCAGCAUGGAAGUUCUACUGUGAGUCAGUUUCCCCAAGUCAAAGCUGUUGGAUGACUGAUGCCCUGACUAAUUAAACAAGUAGCCAAGGUUCAUAAUUCUUGGACAAAUCCUGUCCCACCCAGAAGGCUACCCUGCCCCACCCAUUGUGAGCAAGAAAGCUCUUUGAUGUGAGGAAAUGGAGAGAAGGAAAUAACAUUUGUUUGAGAAAGUGAGAGCAAAUGGCAAUGUCAGGAUGAUGCCUACCCACUCUGACUCUUGUGAAGGAUGCAGAAGCCCCUACGAAGCCACACAUCUGAUUUUUCAGGGCUACUGAAGGGUUGUUCAAUGGGCUGUAACAAGAAAACAAGUGCCAGUGCCAGUAACAGUAAUGACCUAGCUGGAAACUUCAUGAGGAACUCUGCUUUACUCAGUCUUGAGAUAACAGAGACAUGCCACCUGCAUGCACUACCUCCUUGCAUUCUGCCACCAUGUCACCAAUCCCUGACGGUAUCAUUCAGCUCUCUCUGACUUCAAAUAUAGUUCUUUGUGAUAGCAACAUCCAAAUCGCUUGAGAAAUACCUGAGAGUCUUCUGUGGUUUAACAUAGUAUCAGGACUUGUUUAAGUGCUAAUAAACGUGGGUG